CUCCUUCCUCCUGGUGUGGACCUUCACCCACAUUUGCAUGUGGGAAAGGGGAGGCUCAGAGCCCCAGUCAUUCGGCCACAAACACAUGGGAGGCCCAGGCAUCCAGGCUUGCUCUCUGUGGGCCCUGGACUGGCACCCUUAUUUGAGGGACCCUGGGAGAUGAUCAGCACCCAAUUUUUUUCUUUUUCUGGCCUCUCAGGCGACACCUGCUGGCUCAGACCAGCUUUGGAGCAGCCCAAGUGGCAGUCACAAACUGAGCUGGGACAAGACCUUGCGACAGCAGGAGGGAGAGUGGGCAGGGGAGAGAAUGCAGGGCAAAGCGGGGAGAUGAGCGGUGGGGAGUCAGGCCCACCCCUGACUGAAGAGCCCCUUCCCUGCGCUCCCCCCAGGCACCCAGGCCCCCUGUAAGGGAGCCUCAGCCCAGAGGCUCCCCAGCCGGACUCUGGGCCCCACCCGACUCCGGACAGCAUGGGACGGUCCCCACCCGGGGGAGUGCCAGAGUGCAGGGUUAAGGGUUUCUCUACACUUUCCCAAGAUGUCUACUUAUUCCAGGAAAGCUGCCCGGCUGACACCUUCCAUCUGGGAAUGGUCAGCCCCUACCUCCUGUGGCCUCGCUCACUUGUGACUCACCCCCCGCCCAUCCCUCAGCCUGGGUCUCCACUCACUCUCGCGACUGAGGUGCUCCUCUUAAUCGUCGCUGAGAACUCUCUGUGCAGCAGGAGCGCUGCCCUUGUCUGCACUGGCCCACACGGCAGACGCCUCCGUCUUAACUUUGAGUCUGCAUUUUUUUACUCGUAGGUCUUGUAAAACUUGACCCAGAAUUUUCCAGAACUUUCUUUUGUGCUUAGAAAGGUUUUCCCCACCCUGAGAUAGACAUAGUAAGCUGCCUCUGUGUUCUCCCAGCUCUAUUCAUUCAUCCGUCCAUCCAUCUAUCCUUCAUUCACUGUUACCCUUGACUCUAACCCCCAGGCCUCUGGCUGCCUGUGUCCCAGAGCUGGUGGCUAGGCCCUGAGCACAAGGCCUUCUCAAGGGACAGGAAUUUACAGUCAUUCCUGGAAGCCUCCCCUUCUAGGAAUGUGGGGAGGGAAAACACGUUUCUAUUUAAAUAGGGAGCGAGUGUUUGGCCUCUGAGGCUUCAGAUGCCCCCCAGUCACCUGGCCAGGCUCCGCCAUCUCGCCUGUCACCAGCGUCCUUCCGAGAUGCACUGGUCUGAGGUCUCCCGGCCUUCUCCUGCUCCCUCCCUAAGAAUUUCCUUGCACGUCUAAUACUAUCUUGGCCAAAUUCUUUUAGGCAUCCUGACACCCAAACUUGUGCAGCGAUACAGACAGGAAGCAAAGCCACCCUGGCUCCACGCAGCCCGGGAAGCGCUGGGCUGGCCGCGCCCCUCGCCCCCCACACACUGGAGGCCCAGCGCCGCGUGCCCAGCCUGGACGGGUGACGACACUGGCAUUCAGCACUGAGCUUGGGUCCGCAUCCAGGCUCCCUCUGCCCCACCCGCCCCCGGCAGCUUGUGCAAGCCCCAGGCCCACCGCCCACCCCACCCCCACCCUGGACUCCGGGUCCUCCGGUCUCGGCCUCCCAGACCAGGGCCCUGGCCCCCGCCCAGCAGGCUGUUUCCUCAUCCCACCCUGAGACCCCCGGGCCCCACUUGGCUGUAGUAACGCCGGGGGGCAGGGCCCCGAACACCCUUCCCUGAGUGGAAGGAGUCCAGACCCUCCUGCCCCAGCUCAACCCAGUAGAAGGAGCCAGAAAAUGGGGUCUUCGGUGUGGAGAGACAAGUCUCCCUCCCACGGAGAGGGGACUCCUCCCUGGGCUCCAGCCCACACUCUGGUCUUCAGAUCGUCCUGUGCGUCCUCAGUCAGAGCCCCGGGGGUACUGCCUUCCCCCAGGACCCACCCCAGCUCCCCCAGUCCCCACAGCCAGCUCAGCCUGCGCCUGUCCCAGGGCUGGGCCAGCCGCUGAGCACGAGGCCCUAGGGCUGUCUGUGCAGCCCAGAGAGAAGAUGUGGUGUUCACUCGGAGAGCUGCAGGGAGCUGCUAGAGAAUUUUAGUGGGAAACGCCAAGGUGCAAGGGUCCCAGUGGGAGUUUGGACGAGGGUGGUGGCAUGAGGGAGCGGUAGGAUUGAAGAGAUACUGAGGGGAGAAACUGCACAGACAGGUGUGAUGCUGGGAGCCAGGGAGAGGGAGAUGCUCGGAUGGUCCCCCAGCUUCCAGCUCAGGUGCCACUGACGAGUUGCUGAGGGGUGCCGGGCUGGGCCUUCUGCCACAAGUCACAGUAUACUUGACUCAAAGAGGCUUAAGUCAAAAAAGGAAGAUAUUGAAUUCCAUAAUGAAAAAAUACAGAGGUGAACUUCAAGCAUAGCUGGAUCCAGAUGCUCAAAUGUCUCCAGGAACAAGUUUCUCCCCCACUUGUCCCUCAGCUCUCCUCCCCUCUCCUCCAUUUUCCACCAAGAGCACCUCUCCUGGUGACCAAGAUUCCCAGCAGCUCCAUCCCACAGCCCUUCAAGUUCAGACAAAAAUGAAGCACUAGCCCGCUGGUCUUAAGCUUCUCUCCAACUGGAGGGGCUUGAGUCAGGGGCCUGGGCCUGGACCAGUCGCUGCAGCCAGAAGAGCGGGCCGUCUGAUGGGCUCAGCCCAGGUCGUACGCUCUCCCCAAAGCCUUAAGGGGGGUGACGAACCUCUAAACAGAAACUGGGGGCUGCUGGCAGAUGCUGGCAGGGAAUCUAUGAAUGACCCCAACAGGGCAGGUGAAUUUGCAUCCUUGGGUUUGAAGUCAACGUCUUUUACAUUCGAUUUGGAUGCUGUCGGCACACGUGUUUAAAGUAUGUUCUCUGUAAAACUGUCAACAGGCACAGGGAGACUUUGUCAAGCUCGUCAGCGAUGGGCUCUCAGGCCCAGAGCCAGUCCAGCCAGUGACAGCCCAGAGACCCCCGAACCUCUCACGGUCCCCGACUCUUGCCGGGCUGGGCACCAGAGGCCACGGCAGCCCCGUGGAAGCAACAUGGGCCUGAUGGGAGCCUCGUCGCCUGUGGCUGGUGACUAAUAAUGAAACAAGCAGGCUACACCCAUUGCAAAAAUGUUAAGCCAGCAGGAGAGAAUGUGACACGAGCCCAGUGGCUGAUUCCAGUUAUGUGAAAAUACCGGGAGGGAUUGUGAAAGACAGGGCCUUCCAGAUCCAGAUGUCCUCUCCCAGGCCCCUCCCCAGCUGAAGACUCCCCCUAAGCUUCCUUAAAAGUGUGACUAGCUCCAGGUGCACCCCUAAACUGUUACGUAGUUUGGGCUGUUUUGAACUUGAUUAAAAUAGACCUCCUGUAAAUGGUCCUCUUUGCACUGGGGAGAGCGCCCGGGGCAGUCUGCAGCGGGCCUUCAUUUCUUUUCAGUGCUGUGUAAUAGUCCACUGCCCCCAGCAGGCCGGGCGAGCCUCUGGUCUAUGGACAUUUAGGCUGUUUAUUUUUUCCUGCUACAAGCAAUGCUG